UAGAGUUUGAUNCNGGCUCAGGAUGAACGCUGGCGGCGUGCCUAAUACAUGCAAGUCGAACGCGCAGCGAGAGGUGCUUGCACCUUUCAAGCGAGUGGCGAACGGGUGAGUAACACGUGGAUAACCUGCCUCAAGGCUGGGGAUAACAUUUGGAAACAGAUGCUAAUACCGAAUAAAACUUAGUAUCGCAUGAUAUCAAGUUAAAAGGCGCUACGGCGUCACCUAGAGAUGGAUCCGCGGUGCAUUAGUUAGUUGGUGGGGUAAAGGCUUACCAAGACGAUGAUGCAUAGCCGAGUUGAGAGACUGAUCGGCCACAUUGGA
rnacentral:rRNA from 1 species